CCGCGUGAGGGAUGACGGCCUUCGGGUUGUAAACCUCUUUCAGUAGGGAAGAAGCGAAAGUGACGGUACCUGCAGAAGAAGCGCCGGCUAACUACGUGCCAGCAGCCGCGGUAAUACGUAGGGCGCAAGCGUUAUCCGGAAUUAUUGGGCGUAAAGAGCUCGUAGGCGGUUUGUCGCGUCUGCCGUGAAAGUCCGGGGCUCAACUCCGGAUCUGCGGUGGGUACGGGCAGACUAGAGUGAUGUAGGGGAGACUGGAAUUCCUGGUGUAGCGGUGAAAUGCGCAGAUAUCAGGAGGAACACCGAUGGCGAAGGCAGGUCUCUGGGCAUUAACUGACGCUGAGGAGCGAAAGCAUGGGGAGCGAACAGGAUUA
rnacentral:rRNA from 1 species